rnacentral:misc_RNA from 1 species
GGAAGGAUCAUUACCACGUUUCCACGUAUCCACGCACGUGCAUCUGUUUUCGUUUCCUCUCCUGCUUUUGCUUCCUUCACGGGUUGCUGGGCAGGUCCCCCGGGUGCCUCUGUCUCGGUUUCGGCCGAGCGUUGUGCCCUUCCUCACCCCUUCCACCUCUUUUUUGCUAGUUGACUUUGAAAAAUGACACUGCCUGCGUUUGUUGCUUCGGCUGCUGCGCUUGCUGUGCCUCGUUUUCUCUAUUUAUUAUUGAAACGUCAUUACAACUCUUAGCAAUGGAUAUCUAGGUUCUCGCAACGAUGAAGAACGCAGCGAAAUGCGAUACGUAAUGCGAAUUGCAGAAUUCAGUGAAUCAUCAAAUCUUUGAACGCAAAUGGCGCUCUUGGGUAGCCCUAGGAGCACGCCUCUCUCAGUAUCGGUUCAACCUCCUCUCAGCAGCAUCCGAAUUUAAUCGUUCGCCUGUGUUGGCUGGAAAAUGAGCGUCGCACUGGACUCUUUUGUCCGCUGCGUCUCUUGAAAUGCAUGGAGUCUCCCUCUGUGCCUCGCAGCGCGCUUCCCUCUUUUGGGUGGCGCUAGCUCGGCUUGUCCUUGUUGCUGCGGAGUGACGUGAAUACUGACCCUCGUGGUCUCUCUUUUACGUGUGUCUCUGCAGCGACUCUCACAGGGUAGGUCGCAGUGAACGCUUGGUGUUUUAUGAGUGUGUGACGUGUCGGCUGGUCGUGCGUGCAGUGUUAUGCUGUCGUGCGAUCGUCCACUCGAUGUUCGUCCUUUCAUUAGGCGACUUCUGAAAUUUGAUCUGAGAUGAAGCGAGACAACCCCCUGAAUUUAAGCAUAUUAAUAAGGGGAGGAAAAGAAACUAACAAGGAUUCCCCCAGUAACGGCGAGUGAAGCGGGAAGAGCUCAAUUUGAAAAUCGAUCACCCAAGCGGGUCAUCGAAUUGUAGCCUAGAGACGUACUAUCAGCUGCAACCUGGGUAUAAGUUCUUUGGAAUGAGGCAUCAUAGAGGGUGAGAAUCCCGUAUAUGACCCAAAGCUUGCAGCGUACGAUGUAUGUUCCUCGAGUCGAGUUGUUUGGGAUUGCAGCUCUAAAUGGGUGGUAAGUUUCAUCUAAAGCUAAAUAAUGGCGAGAGACCGAUAGCGAACAAGUACCGUGAGGGAAAGAUGAAAAGAACUUUGAAAAGAGAGUUAAAAGUACUUGAAAUUGCUAAGAGGGAAGCGCUGACAACCAGUGCUUCGCGUCGCUCGACGCUCGUGUGCCUCUGAUGCUGUCGUCUGCUGUGCGUAAGCCUGCAGGCGGCCGUUUUUUGGGUGGUCGCGGGUUGAGGUCGGCGUGUCAGUCAAGAUCCAUUGGAUGAGGGGGAGAAAGUGAAGAGGAAGGUAGGAGAUCCGUAUCUGUUAUAGCCUCUGCACUCUACCUCGCGUCGGAUGGAGGAAGGAAUAGUGCGCCGCUUGCGACUUAGUCUCACGCGUCCUGUCGCUGCUCGCUGCUUUCAGUGCAAUGCUCUGUCUGUUGCGUGCCGGUGCCACUGUGUGUGCGGACUCUCUGUGCUAUCACGAUCUUGGACGAAAUGGUUGUCAUCGACCCGUCUUGAAACACGGACCAAGGAGUCUAACAUCUAUGCGAGUAUUUGAGUGAAAAACUCGAAUGCGCAAUGAAAGUAAAGGCAGCUUCGGCUGCUGAGGUAGGAAUCCGCGUCAAAAACGGAGGCACUAUCGACCGAUCAUCACUUGUGAAAGAUUUGAGUAAGAGCAUAUCUGUUGGGACCCGAAAGAUGGUGAUCUAUGCCUGAACAGGGUGAAGCCAGGGGAAACUCUGGUGGAGGCUCGUAGCGAUACUGACGUGCAAAUCGUUCGUCUGAUUUGGGUAUAGGGGCGAAAGACUAAUCGAACCAUCUAGUAGCUGGUUCCCUC